AACGAACGCUGGCGGCAGGCCUAACACAUGCAAGUCGAACGCAUCCUUCGGGGUGAGUGGCGCACGGGUGAGUAACACGUGGGAAUGUACCCUUUGGUUCGGAAUAACGUCUGGAAACGGACGCUAAUACCGGAUGAGCCCUGCGGGGGAAAGAUUUAUCGCCAAAGGAGCAGCCCGCGUCUGAUUAGCUAGUUGGUGGGGUAACGGCCUACCAAGGCGACGAUCAGUAGCUGGUCUGAGAGGAUGAUCAGCCACACUGGGACUGAGACACGGCCCAGACUCCUACGGGAGGCAGCAGUGGGGAAUAUUGGACAAUGGGCGCAAGCCUGAUCCAGCCAUGCCGCGUGAGUGAUGAAGGCCUUCGGGUUGUAAAGCUCUUUCGCACGCGACGAUGAUGACGGUAGCGUGAGAAGAAGCCCCGGCUAACUUCGUGCCAGCCGCCGCCGUAACAC
rnacentral:rRNA from 1 species